GCCGGGAAUAUAGCUCAGCGGCACAAGCACCUGCCUGGCAAUUGGAAGGUCUGGAGUUCAAUUCCUGGUACCAAAAAAAAAAAAAAAAGAAGUGAGAUCUAAUUCUCAUCAUAUGGGAGAAAGGUGUCAGGUAUUUGAAGAAAGUGACUAAGAAAAGGGUCAAUUUUGCCCAUUGCCCAGUGAAGCUGAGUGAAAACACACACCAAGAUAAUACCUCUGAAUAUCCCUUCUCUACUCUGGUCACACGCCAUUCAGUGUCUCCCUUUCCUAGUCCACGAAUUCCUGGAGGACUCUUCUCCAUCCGUAACAUAACUCCUGGUUUCCUUAACCUUCUCUGUACGGCACAGAGCAGGGAAAGGAUGGCUUACAUUUGAAAAACAGAGGAAAAUACACAGAAGGAAAAAUUUUUUUGAAUUACAUAUUUAGAUCCCAUUAAAAAUAAAUAAAACUGAAUCAGAAAAGAAAGACAAAAAAAUGUGUCACAGUAAUGAAGUAUGUCCAAACUACUUAUUAUUUAAAGGAUUUACACAAAACAAUAUGUGAAUAAGAUGACGACAAAUAAAUAGAUAACUGGAACAAAUUACAAAAGAGGGAAAUUUGCGGUCUAAAGUGAGAAAAACAUUUAACUUCACAGUUGUGCAAAAAAGUACAGAAUAAAAUUAUAGAAAGAUCACAUUGAACAGCAAAGAUUAUAAUACAGGCAACAGUCAGUGCUGGUAGCAGUAGUGAUGGCACAUCAUUUCUGCUAAGAGUUGGCAGUGAUGUGGCCUUCCUGGACAUCAAGUUGACAUACCUCAAGAGUCCUAAGAUUGUUAUAUCCAGAGUACAUUCCUAGAGAAAAAGAAAUUACAAUGCAUUUUUUGGUUUGUUUUAGCCUUUUGUUCUUAGAAAGAAAGCAGGGAAUGAUGAAAAGAACAAGUGAAAGAAUUGUAUGAGUGUGCAGAGACAAAGAGUGGCAAUUCUGUUUUCUUUGAAUGUCAGACAAGUUUGUUUUUGCAAUGUUUAUAUUACAAUAAGAAAAAGUAAUACAAGGUUUUUCUUAAAAAAGU
ensembl:lincRNA